GAUAAUAUUUCAUAGUUGAAUUGGCUUGGAAAAGUUUUUCAACAAAAGGGAUAGGGAAAAUGGUCUCUAUCCGCUAUAGGAUAGGAUCGUGUUCGAUUAUGGUAGUUGGUGAGGUAACGGCUCACCAAGCCGAUAAUCGAUAGGGGCCGUGAGAGCGGGAGCCCCGAGAUGGGUACUGAGACAACGACCCAGGCCUUACGAGGCGCAGCAGGUACGAAACCUCCACAAUACACGAAAGUGUGAUGGGGUUACCCAAAGUGUUCAUUAUUGAACUGUGGUAGGAGAGUAAUGUCCCCUACUAGAAAGGAGAGGGCAAGGCUGGUGCCAGCCGCCGCGGUAAAACCAGCUCUUCAAGUGGUCGGGAUAAUUAUUGGGCUUAAAGUGUCCGUAGCCGGUUUGGUAAGUUCCUGGUAAAAUCGGAUAGCUUAACUAUCUGUAUGCUAGGAAUACUGCUAUACUAGAGGGCGGGAGAGGUCUGAGGUACUACAGGGGUAGGGGUGAAAUCUUAUAAUCCUUGCAGGACCACCAGUGGCGAAGGCGUCAGACUGGAACGCGCCUGACGGUGAGGGACGAAAGCCAGGGGAGCGAACCGGAUUAGAUACCCGGGUAGUCCUGGCCGUAAACGAUGCAUACUAGGUGAUGGUACGGCUAUGAGCCAUAUCAGUGCCGUAGGGAAACCGUUAAGUGUGCCGCCUGGGAAGUACGGUCGUAAGGCUAAAACUUAAAGGAAUUGGCGGGGGAGCACCACAAGGGGUGAAGCCUGCGGUUC
rnacentral:rRNA from 1 species